rnacentral:rRNA from 1 species
GAGGAACACGUGAGAAACCUGCCUUUCAUUCUGGGAUAACACCGGGAAACCGGCGCUAAUACCGGAUACUCCAUCUUGGCGGCAUCGCCGAGCUGGGAAAAAAUUUUGAUGAAAGAUGGUCUCGCGGCCUAUCAGCUAGUUGGCGGGGUAAUGGCCCACCAAGGCGACGACGGGUAGCCGGCCUGAGAGGGCGACCGGCCACACUGGGACUGAGACACGGCCCAGACUCC